rnacentral:rRNA from 1 species
AGCGAACGCUGGCGGCAUGCCUAACACAUGCAAGUCGAACGAACCUUUCGGGGUUAGUGGCGGACGGGUGAGUAACACGUGGGAACGUGCCUUUAGGUUCGGAAUAACUCAGGGAAACUUGUGCUAAUACCGAAUGUGCCCUUCGGGGGAAAGAUUUAUCGCCUUUAGAGCGGCCCGCGUCUGAUUAGCUAGUUGGUUGAGGUAAUGGCUCACCAAGGCGACGAUCAGUAGCUGGUCUGAGAGGAUGAUCAGCCACAUUGGGAUUGAGACACGGCCCAAACUCCUACGGGAGGCAGCAGUGGGGAAUCUUGCGCAAUGGGCGAAAGCCUGACGCAGCCAUGCCGCGUGAAUGAUGAAGGUCUUAGGAUUGUAAAAUUCUUUCACCGGGGACGAUAAUGACGGUACCCGGAGAAGAAGCCCCGGCUAACUUCGUG